rnacentral:misc_RNA from 1 species
AAAACGCGAAAAAGUGUUGUGAUGUGCAGUCUUUGAGAAUGAUGAGUAUUUGAACGCACCUUGCACCAUGCUGUAGCAAUACACGUGGUAUGCCUGUUUGAGCAGGGAAAGGAAAUGAACACUGUAUGAGUACGGAGUAUGAGUACGAAGUAUGAGUACGAUGUUCGGAAUGGAGCGUAGGUGCGUACGAUGCAAAUCUGCACACACCUUGCUCUGGAAAAUAGCUGGUGGGCGUGAUGAAAGAAUCGAGCUUGCAUUGUUCUUGGGAUAAUCCCAGCAAGAACAGCAACACGAAUCACUCACACACACCCACCCAACACACCACUAUAUAAUCCUCUCAAAUCAGGCAAGAUGACCCGCUGAACUUAA